rnacentral:rRNA from 1 species
GUUGCCUGUGAAAAGAAUCUAAGUUCAUCCUUAAUCCUCCUCUAAGGACCUCAAACCGAGCCCCCACGUAACGGAUUAAGAGUAAUUCAAAGGGGGUACAGCCCCUUCGAAAAAGGAUACAACCUCCUGUAGCGGAUAAUAUACUUUCCCCCCCUCCCCCGUAGGCCCUUAAGCAGCCACCAACAAAGAGUGCGUCAAAGCUCUUUCCUCAAAAAUAUAGAAACAACAUGACUCCCUCCACACCAACAGGCCAACCUAUCACAAUAGGUGAAUUAAUGCUAAAAUGAGUAACUAGGACUACUUCCUCUAAAGCGCAAACUUACAUCAUUAUAUUAUUAACAGUACUCAAUUAAUACCACAACUCCAACAAGCCUCCAUAUUAAAACUACUCUGUUAACCCGACCCAGGAGCGCCCACUAGAAAGACUAAAAUCUGUAAAAGGAACUAGGCAAAUCCAAGACCCGACUGUUUACCAAAAACAUAGCCUCCAGCAAACCCAGUAUUGAAGGUGAUGCCUGCCCAGUGACCACCUGGUUCAACGGCCGCGGUAUCCUA